rnacentral:rRNA from 1 species
GAUGAACGCUAGCUACAGGCUUAACACAUGCAAGUCGCGGGACCGGCGCACGGGUGAGUAACGCGUAUCCAACCUGCCCUUCACCACCGGAUAACCCGGCGAAGGUCGGACUAAUACCGUAUGGUAGAGGAGGGGGAUGGGUCCGAUUAGCUUGACGGCGGGGUAACGGCCCACCGUGGCUACGAACGGUGGGGGUUCUGAGAGGAAGGUCCCCCACACUGGAACUGAGACACGGUCCAGACUCCUACGGGAGGCAGCAGUGAGGAAUAUUGGUCAAUGGGCGUAAGCCUGAACCAGCCAAGUAGCGUGCAGGACGACGGCCUAUGGGUUGUAAACUGCUUUUAUGCGGGGAUAGGUACCGCAUGAAUAAGGACCGGCUAAUUCCGUGCCAGCAGCCGCGGUAAUUC